GCCUGGGUGGCUCAGUUGGUUGAGCGUCUGACUUCAGCUCAGGUCAUGAUCUUGCAGACUGUGAGUUUGAGCCCCGCGUCGGGCU
rnacentral:tRNA from 1 species